UUGUAGGCUGCUUCUUUUGUCCGUGUAGAUUUUUCGUUGCUUCUAGGAAAGGAAGGACAUGACCCUAUUUGGUACUACGGCUUCAUUUUAGUUUAUUUUUCGCACUGACACUUUUAGCCUGCCUCGAAUUCUGCUAUAAAAGCACGGCUACCCUGUGCCGAUAUUAUUGUACAUUUCACAGUCGAUUGCUGCCCUUUCUUCAGGCGAAGUACAGAUUAUACAAACAUGACGUUCAACAACGGAUUUGUCGUUUUCGUUACUCUUUUGGUGGCUGUUCUCCUAGCGGCGCCGCAGGUGGACGCUGCCGAACUCGUGAACUUAUUCACCGACCUGGCGUCGAAGGUGAUUGGGCGCCAGAAUGAAGCUGAAGCCAAACCAGAGCAGUGAAUAAACACCGUUAUCUCUUAAUAAAUCAUACGAAGCAGGUGCUUCCGUUUUCGCUGCAAAUAAGUGCUCUUCUACAAUGUCUGGAGAAUCAUACACGCAAGGCUUAUUCGAUAAAUAAAGAUAUGCUACA